UCUCUCUAUCCCUCUCAUUCCUACAGCCCACGCAUCCCAUCUCUCUCUCUCUCUCUCUCUCUCUCUCUCUCUCUCUCUCUCUCUCUCUCUGGUCGUGCAACUAUCUUCCUUGUGGCUAUGCAACCAUCACCCGUCUAGUGAAAAUCCACUAGUGAAACAGAGGGUUUCUUCCCCAAAUCACAGAGGGUUUCUCCCUGAAAUCCAGAUCUAUGGCUCAAUCACAAAUCCUUGCGUGUCUUGUACCACGGAGGUGAGAUUUCUUUCUUGAUUCUUAUGAAGAGAAUAAAAAAGGGUAGGUAUCAACCUUAGCAGGCGUAAAAAAAGCACGGCCAUGGUCAUCUGAAUUUGAUUCCUGUGUGAAGGACAUUAAAGAGUAGGUGAGAAGAAAAGGGUUCUAUAAAACCCAUUGAAUGGAGUCAUCGACCAUGGUUGCAUCUACUCACAGCGGUGAAAGAACAACAAGGCUUUCAAUAGGGGACACCAUCCAGAGGCUACUGGUGCUGGUACUGAAGACCGGCAGUGGUCGACUACUUUAUUUUCUUUUUUUGAGGUUUUAUGCCAACAUUAAUGGCAGCCCAUGCCGCUGCCACAAUGACGACCAAUAUCAAAGAAGAAGAGAGGAGAGGCUUUGGGUUGCAGCUAAACGAAAAUGGCACAAAAAGCAUGACCACAGUCAUCUGAAUCUAAUCCUAGUGUGAUAGAUGACCAUUACUAUAUGGUUGAGGAAGAAAACCCAUUACAACUAUAGCAGAUGGACGGAGAGUUGUCAACCCAAAAGGACUGCAGUACUACAACAAUCUCAUCGAUGAACUUGUCCUCCAUGAUAUGUCGUUGACUGCUUUUAUCGAGCCACUUCUAGUUACUGAUUUUGUAACUCAACUCUUGAAUAAAGAUGUCUUAGCCAGACCAUUGUCUGAUGCUGAUCGAGUGAAGGUCUUGUUUUCUUUUGUUUCUUCUAUUUGGAUAUUGACAGCUUUCUUUUUUCUUUUUAGAUAAUUAUUUUGACAUAUUUCAAAGAACUCAAGUGGGUUUUUCUUUUCCUUUCCUUUUUUCCCUUCUUUCUGGAAGACGACUCUGAAAUGGCAUUUGGUUGUUUUUGUUUCUUUGAAUUUGGCUCUCCAAUGCUAGAAAACGGUAACUUUCAUUUUGGGUUUUUAAAUUCCCAAGGCCUCAACUGCAGAAAUUCAAAAUUCAAAUCCAAUUUUUGGAUUCAAAAUUAUUUGGCAUUUAGAGAGCCAAAGUUUCUAUGGCCUAAACAUGGAUGACCUGACCUUUUGUUGUGAAGAUGUAGAAAGAAAUAAAAGAGUUAAUUCAACAGUGAGAUCUUGCUCAAUCUCAUCUCAAGGGCUCGUUUAUAUUUACUACUCUAAUUCUCUAUAACUUUCUUACUUUAUAUGCUUCACAUAGCUUCUUACCUGUUGGCAGGUUUUGAAAUGGCUGUAAUGAUUGCGCAUGAGUUUAAAGCAAUCUUAGACGUUGCAGCCACUGAGAAGAGAGAUUCUGAAGAUGGUAGCAGAUAUUUGUGCAGUUGAUGAUAUCAUAUGAUGAAUUGAUGGUUGUUUAGUACAUUAUAGCUGGUUCUGAGACCUGAUAGUCAUGUGAUUUUAGAGCUUCAAAUCUAGUACAAAUGCCAUAGUUGUUGUUGUUGUCUUUCUUGGCAAGCAUAAAAUUCCAUCCAGUCAUUUCUCAGUUUUUCCUCAUUUUGAUAUAACCUUUCAUUCAAUGUAGACAGUGGAUGUAUUUUUCUCAUUAACUAUUUGCAGGCCACCGACUGAAAAGCUAGGAUCAUUCAACCAGGAAGAUUUUCAGCAUGUGUAUGGUUGGGCCUAUGAGGCCAACAACCUGCAUCACCAAACCUGGGCCUGAGUUGUAUGGAAUUUAGAACCAUUGAUCUUCAUUCUUGCGGUGGUCCUGUUAAAUAUAUGAAGUUUUCAAUUGUUUUCACCACUCAUGUCAAGGAGAUUUUACUAUAUGAAUAUGUGGGAGCGUGUGCACCCAAACUGACUGACCCAAUUUAAUCAGAUUUACUAAUUGGGGUUGGAUUCAGGCCCAUGAAACCUGAACUGACAAUAAAUCAUGCUUAGAUCAGAUAUAUGAAUUUGUAGUCUUUUCCUUUAUUUGAUUAUAUUUAUCAUUUAAAUCAUAUAAAGGCAAUCUUCAGGUGUGGGAUUCUAACUCUGAACCUCUCUGUAUCCAAAGCCAUUUUGAUUCUAAUUCUGAACCUCUCUGUAUCCAAUUCCCAUACUCUUGUCCAGAUAUGGAUGCACCCUCACAGAUAGUUUUGGUAUGGAUUCUUAGUGGUGAAUUAUUUGCUAAGCUAUUUAUUAAGGAGUAUUUAUUGUUUUUUAUGUUGAUACACCAGGAUGUAGCUACCUUGGAGCAGCAACCAAGCUGCACAUUGUCCCUAGAAACAUCCCUUUCAAAGCAGAAUGUAUGCAGAGAAAAGGCGUGCUGAGGCUGCUAGAAUUUGGGAGAAAUAUCCAGAGAGGAUUCCUGUAAGUGUUUACUCUAACUGGUAGUCAUAUACUGGUUCUUCCCCCUCAUGCAACAACUAUGAGAGGUGGGUCCACAGUUAUA